UUAGCCUGUGAGUCUUCAGGCUCCAAAGAAUGUUAAAGGAGGCUCUUGUUUCCCCUUCCUUGCUGUAUGGCUUGAAGAUGGAUUAAGGGUUCUUGAUACCCUAAAAGCAUCGUCUAAGCUUAACGUUCUUAUGUCCAGAAAGGCCAGAUUUUACCUACCAAAAAAUUUUUUUCCAAAAAAAUUAUGUACAUCAUAAGUCUAGUAGUUCUGCAUAUAUGUGAUAAGUGCCCCCAAAUAAAAUUACCUUCAAACCUGAAGUUUUGGACUUAAAUAAACUCAGAUACCUUAAGUGUAAGCUGAAAUUUGGGCAGUGAGUUCCAAGCCCUUGGAAGGGUAACAGUGAGUCCCCCUCUGUCAGCUCCUGUCUUUUCCUCUGGCUUCGCGGAGCUGCAGCAAGUGGCAAGUCUGGAGAAAGGAGACCAUACUGCUCUCGGCCGCCUGGAGUAAGAGCCACCCCUUUAUAAUGUGGACUAAUAAGAUUCCUUCAUGAUUUUUCCCCAGAGUUGAAAGCAAUUUAGUUUGUAAAGAACUCUAGCUCACCAAGGAGAGUAAUUCAAUUCAGAAAAGUUAACUUCUGAAAAGUCACUUCUGUUUUUAUCCUUGCUUGCCAUCCCAUUACAGGAUGAGUCCUGCUCCCCUGUGUGUAUAUAAACAUAAGAAAAUUGCUGACCAGUUUGAUCUCGGCCUGACUAAAAUGCCUUUUGAGAGUAGGUUUCCAUAAGUAAAGCCCCAGUGUUGUGUUCCCUUAGAAAUACUAUUUUUUUCAGUUGUUUAUGUCAGUUUACUACCAAAAAAAAAAAAAAAAAAAAGAUUCAGAGUGGAUGGAGCACAACUCUGAGUAUUUUUCUAGUCUGGAAUUUUUAUUAAUAAUUGGUGCUGCCGGGUCUUGCCUGCUGCAACUCUCAGUGUUUCUCUUACUUGGGAUGGCUUUUUGCAGAAAGGGCUACAGUUCACACUGCAGAGUAAGUAUUAAGUUUCCUGGAUUUUUACCCUUACUGUGGCCCAAAAGAAUUAAAAUUUGUUAAUAUAAAGAGCAUAUUUAUCAUUCCCCAGUAGUUAAUUAUAGAGUUUGGUAACUUUAUGCCUCAGGGAUGCCACGUGACAUAUAGCUGGUUAUAGAACUUCAGGGUUAGGGUUUAAAGAAAGGAGAAAGCCAUUGGAAAAAUGAUAGGCUUCGUUAAGGAGACUAAUGAAUCUGUAUGCAGAAAUAUGCUGGGAACUGGCAUAAACAUGAUUGUAGUAGAAUUUAUUUUUCAGUACCAAUAGGGAAAUUAUUCUGAGUUAUCACAUACACUGUGUUAGGAAAGUUGAGAACUCUUUUCUUCAUUAAGUUUCAAUGCCUUUUAUUUCUGCUUUCAUAGAAAAACUCAAACCUCUUAUGUGGGAGCUCAGUGUUGUUAUUUGGGCACUUUUGAGAGUUUAAAGCAUGUUUUCUACUUAAUUUGAGUGUAACAUAGGCUAUAUAGAAUUGUUACCUGCAGUUCUAUGAUUCUGCUCACUUCUCUUUUUUAAAGCCAUUCUGUUCUUCUGGUGUGCAUGAAAGGGUGUAGGAUCACAACAGUGUUGAUGCUGUGUGACUGAUCACCAUGCAGUCCUGCCUGGGAACAGUGGAACUUGUGAUAGACAAACCCCACUGGACCUUGACUUUAAGCCAAAUCCAGCCCCGUCCCUUGGCUGUGGACCUUACAUCCCAGGGGUUAGUCUUUGCAGGCUACGGGUGUGCUGUUCCUCCCUCAGGGCUGAGGGUAGAGCACAGCUCUCUCAUCAUUUCCGUAGGAUUCAAAGGCCAGUAAGACUUUAGGAUCAUCUUAAAAGAUGUAAGCAUGAUUGAAGCAGUAAAACAAAAGAAGGUUCAGUAUUUUCUUUUGAUUAAAACUUACAUCUUUCAAAUAAGUUUUUGCCCUCAUGAAGAAUCCCCUAGAGAAAGACAGGGGAAAAUGAAUAUUUUUCCAGUUCUACUUUACUGUUUAUAAACAUGUUUCUAGACAAACAAAUAAACCAGAUGAAAGGAAAUCUAUUUCUUUUUAGCUGAGAUGACAGAUUCCUUUUCUGUAUUAAUAAUCUACAACUUUAAGGGGGUGGUCAUAUUUACCAUGUAUAGUGUUAUGAGCAGUCAAAUUUUAUGAAUAUAUUUGUAAAAUUGUUCUUUUAUAUUUCAUGUCAAAUUGAAAAGUUUAUUUCUUCACUAUUGUACCUGUGGAAAUACAAGCCAUUUUACAGGAAAAAUCUUCAAAACCUAUUAAAUGGAUCUCAG